rnacentral:lncRNA from 1 species
AGGGGCUUCAUUGCGAGGGUCAGGUACAGGUUGAGCAGUGUGGCAUGAGCCUGAGGUCUUCGGACCAAUAGGGCAGCGAGAUUGGGUACUUUUGAGCUUUUCGUCAGUUGACGCAUGCAUACAGUAGCUGUAGUGCUUAUUUUCAGUACAUCCUUAUCUGUUUAUUGUAGCUACUGUUUUACUUACCUGCAUCUAUACUUGUCAGCUCCUUACUUAUCAGCAUAUUUACUUAUCAACACUUAUAUCUAUCUAGUUUCCCGUGACUAGUGAGUACCCCUCGCCCUCUACGGCUUGCGGUACCCACUGGGAGGGGAGACAUGUUUACAUGUUCUCACCCCCCGCCCCC